GGCUCAGGACGAACGCUGGCGGCGUGCUAAUACAUGCAAGUCGAGCGGACAGAUGGGAGCUUGCUCCCUGAUGUUAGCGGCGGACGGGUGAGUAACACGUGGGUAACCUGCCUGUAAGACUGGGAUAACUCCGGGAAACCGGGGCUAAUACCGGAUGGUUGUUUGAACCGCAUGGUUCAAACAUAAAAGGUGGCUUCGGCUACCACUUACAGAUGGACCCGCGGCGCAUUAGCUAGUUGGUGAGGUAAUGGCUCACCAAGGCAACGAUGCGUAGCCGACCUGAGAGGGUGAUCGGCCACACUGGGACUGAGACACGGCCCAGACUCCUACGGGAGGCAGCAGUAGGGAAUUCCGCAAUGGACGAAAGUCUGACGGAGCAACGCCGCGUGAGUGAUGAAGGUUUUCGGAUCGUAAAGCUCUGUUGUUAGGGAAGAACAAGUACCGUUCGAAUAGGGCGGUACCUUGACGGUACCUAACCAGAAAGCCACGGCUAACUACGUGCCAGCAGCCGCGGUAAUACGUAGGUGGCAAGCGUUGUCCGGAAUUAUUGGGCGUAGGGCUCGCAGGCGGUUUCUUAAGUCUGAUGUGAAAGCCCCCGGCUCAACCGGGGAGGGUCAUUGGAAACUGGGGAACUUGAGUGCGAAGAGGAGAGUGGAAUUCCACGUGUAGCGGUGAAAUGCGUAGAGAUGUGGAGGAACACCAGUGGCGAAGGCGACUCUCUGGUCUGUAACUGACGCUGAGGAGCGAAAGCGUGGGGAGCGAACAGAUUAGAUACCCUGGUAGCCACGCCGUAAACGAUGAGUGCUAAGUGUUAGGGGGUUUCCGCCCCUAGUGCUGCAGCUAACGCAUAAGCACUCCGCUUGGGAUAUUAA
rnacentral:rRNA from 1 species